GGUCGCUUAGCGCAGUUGGUAGCGCACUACACUCACAUUGUAGGGGUCACUGGUUCGAGUCCAGUAGCGACCACCA
rnacentral:tRNA from 1 species